AAAAGCCUAAAACUCAUGUUUGAAGCACACAUGUAGUGGAAUACAAAUUUGCCGAGAUAAGGAUCUUUUCUGAAUGUCACAAUUUUGGUGGCAUAACCUGCAACAGCAUGUUUGUUGUUACGGCUGUUUCUACUUCUAUUUAGAAGACAACCCAGCUGAGGGAUAGAGUUUCAGAGACAUGAAGAGUGUGAAGUGACGUGCCGUGUAUGUACCAGAUCUGCUUGAUGAAAGUCAAGUGCCCUACUAAAUUCAUCACUCAUAUGAUAAAG